AAAGGGAAAGGACUAAGCCUGUAAAUAACCCUCACCGUGACGUUUUAAAGCUACAAACCAUGCUUUAAACGGCACCGUUUCACAUCACCAAAUAAAAGAGGACAAAGCCCCUGAAAACCCUAGGCAUUUCAAUCAAAACAAUGGGGAGAAGGGGGAACCCAAAGGUUUUGCGCCUUUCGGCCAUAGUUUCAUCACUGCGACGAUGAAUGACGACCUUCGGUGACCCCCUUUUGCUCUUCUGUUUACUCUAGCGUGGUGUUCGUCGAUUUAAGCCCCGAAAUCCCAUCUUCGACUUCGAUUUCAGCGAAGGAGACGAGGUCUUCAAUGGCUCGUAUGCGAAGUACUCAAAAGCUCGUAAAGGUUGGAGCUUGGUCGGAGCAUCAUCACACUAUCCCUUGGCUCAUUUCGGUAUAAAUAGUAAAUUACUUUUGGUUAUAAUGGCAUAUAUAGGUUAAUUAGCCAAUGUUAAUAUGAAAAUGAUUUUGGUUGUAAAUUGCCAUUGGAAUGGCUUGUGAUGAUCAUAUUUUGAUAUGUAUGUAAAAGGUCUUAUCGUGUUUAAUGUGUGCUAGUAUGGUCGAAUGAUGGAUAAUUUAUAAACAUGUUGAUGGUUGGAUUUGAA